rnacentral:rRNA from 1 species
CUUUUUGAGAGUUUGAUCCUGGCUCAGGAUGAACGCUGGCGGCGUGGAUAAGGCAUGCAAGUCGAGUGGGUUUAGACCCACGGCAAACGGGUUAGUAACGCGUAGGAACGUACCCUCGAGUCGUGAACAACCCGGAGAAAUCCGGGAUAAUACACGAUGUGCUCUAUGGAGCAAAGAUUUAUCGCUUGAGGAGCGGCCUGCGUCCUAUCAGCUUGUUGGUGAGGUAAUGGCUCACCAAGGCUAUGACGGGUAGGGGGCGUGAGAGCGUGACCCCCAACAUUGGAACUGAGACACUGUCCAAACUCCUACGGGAGGCUGCAGUCGAGAAUAUUCCACAAUGGGCGAAAGCCUGAUGGAGCGACGCCGCGUGCAGGAUGAAGGCCUUCGGGUUGUAAACUGCUUUUAUAUGGGAAGAAUUUUUGACGGUACCAUAUGAAUAAGAGGUUACUAACUCUGUGCCAGCAGUAGCGGUAAUACAGAGACCUCAAGCGUUAUCCGGAUUUAUUGGGCGUAAAGAGCGAGCAGGCGGACAUAUUAGUCAGAUGUCAAAUCUCUGAGCUUAACUCGGAAACUGCAUUUGAAACGGUAUGUCUAGAGAAAGUGAGAGACCAAUGGAACUCAUGGUGUAGUAGUGAAAUGCGUUGAUAUCAUGAGGAACACCUAAGGCGAAGGCAUUUGGUUGGCACUUUUCUGACGCUGAGUCGCGAAAGCGUGGGUAGCGAAUGGGAUUAGAUACCCCAGUAGUCCACGCUGUAAACUUUGCAUACUAGAUGUGAGGAGUAUCGACCCUUCUCGUGUCGUAGCUAACGCGUUAAGUAUGCCGCCUGGGAAGUACGAGCGCAAGCUUAAAACUCAAAGGAAUAGACGGGGAUCCGCACAAGUGGUGGAGCAUGAGAAAUACAUAAGCCUUCGAGGGUGUAUAGCAGGCGCUGCAUGGUUGUCGUCAGCUCGUGCCGUAAGGUGUUCCGUUAAGUCGGGUAACGAGCGCAACCCCUGUCGUGUGUUAUAUAUGUCACGCGAGACUGCCCAGACUGAAACGCACUUCGUGCUUAAUUUUCAAUUAUCAAUUUUAAAUUUUCAUUCAAUUUUCAAUGAUUUAAUUUUCAAUUUAGAAAUUUAGAUAUUAGAAUAUUGUUUAGAAAUUAGAAAUUAGAAAUUAGAAAUUGAGUGCUUAGUAAAGCGCGUUGCAGUCUGGGAGGAAGGAGGGGAUGACGUCAAAUCAGCAUGGCCCUUUGACGCCCUGGGCGACACACGUGCUACAAUGGCCGGUACAAUGGGUUGCCAAACCGCGAGGUGGAGCUAAUCCCAAAAAGCCGGUCUCAGUUCGGAUUGGAGUCUGCAACUCGACUCCAUGAAGCUGGAAUCACUAGUAAUCGGGAAUCAGCCACGUCCCGGUGAAUACGUUCUCGGAUCUUGUACUCACCGCCCGUCACACCAAGAGAGUCGGUAACACCCGAAGACCCCGCAUCAAACCGGGGGCUACGGUGGGAUCGAUGAUAAGGGUGAAGUCGUAACAAGGCAUCGGUAGCGGAAGCUGUCGAUGGAUCACCUCCUUU